rnacentral:rRNA from 1 species
CCUACGGGGGGCAGCAGUGAGGAAUAUUGGUCAAUGGGCGGAAGCCUGAACCAGCCAAGUCGCGUGAGGGAAUAAGGCCCUACGGGUCGUAAACCUCUUUUGCCGGGGAGCAAGGGCGGGGACGUGUCCCGGCCCGGAGAGUACCCGGAGAAAAAGCAUCGGCUAACUCCGUGCCAGCAGCCGCGGUAAUACGGAGGAUGCGAGCGUUAUCCGGAUUUAUUGGGUUUAAAGGGUGCGCAGGCGGUCUGUUAAGUCAGCGGUCAAAGCCCGGGGCUCAACCCCGGCCCGCCGUUGAAACUGGCAGU